GUGCUCUCUUCAGCAGCACAUAUACUAAAAUUGGAACAAUACAGAGAUUAGCAUGGCCCCUGUGCAAAGAUGACAUGCAAAUUUGUGCGGGGUUCCAUACUUUU